AUGCAAGUCGAGCGGACAGAUGGGAGCUUGCUCCCUGAUGUUAGCGGCGGACGGGUGAGUAACACGUGGGUAACCUGCCUGUAAGACUGGGAUAACUCCGGGAAACCGGGGCUAAUACCGGAUGCUUGAUUGAACCGCAUGGUUCAAUUAUAAAAGGUGGCUUUUAGCUACCACUUACAGAUGGACCCGCGGCGCAUUAGCUAGUUGGUGAGGUAACGGCUCACCAAGGCAACGAUGCGUAGCCGACCUGAGAGGGUGAUCGGCCACACUGGGACUGAGACACGGCCCAGACUCCUACGGGAGGCAGCAGUAGGGAAUCUUCCGCAAUGGACGAAAGUCUGACGGAGCAACGCCGCGUGAGUGAUGAAGGUUUUCGGAUCGUAAAACUCUGUUGUUAGGGAAGAACAAGUACCGUUCGAAUAGGGCGGUACCUUGACGGUACCUAACCAGAAAGCCACGGCUAACUACGUGCCAGCAGCCGCGGUAAUACGUAGGUGGCAAGCGUUGUCCGGAAUUAUUGGGCGUAAAGCGCGCGCAGGCGGUUUCUUAAGUCUGAUGUGAAAGCCCCCGGCUCAACCGGGGAGGGUCAUUGGAAACUGGGGAACUUGAGUGCAGAAGAGGAGAGUGGAAUUCCACGUGUAGCGGUGAAAU
rnacentral:rRNA from 1 species